GACAGAGGAUGCAAGCGUUAUCCGGAAUGAUUGGGCGUAAAGCGUCUGUAGGUGGCUUUUCAAGUCCGCCGUCAAAUCCCAGGGCUCAACCCUGGACAGGCGGUGGAAACUACCAAGCUGGAGUACGGUAGGGGCAGAGGGAAUUUCCGGUGGAGCGGUGAAAUGCAUUGAGAUCGGAAAGAACACCAACGGCGAAAGCAGCUGGCUAGACCUGGAUUGACGCUGAGGCACGAAAGCGUGGGGAGCGAACAGG
rnacentral:rRNA from 1 species